CUUCACGUAUAUUUUCAGUCUUAGUGUUACAAGAGGGUGAUCUGGUGUAAUCAGCUGUUUGAGUAUAACUCUGGUCUAUUUGCUUUUGUUUUCUAGCUACUCGUUUUGAGACAAUCCGUAAACUGAACUCACUGCUGAAGGAAGGAGAAUCUACAGAGCUGACAAAGAGGGCCUCAGUGGCCCCCCAAAAAUAUGGGGACGAUUCAGAUUGCUCAACUGAUGUUGAAACUCAGUCUCAGCAAGCAAAGAAGUCAAAGGCUCCCAGGAGGAUAGACCCUGCAGAAGAGUUUCUUAGGCUAUACGGUCAAUCACAGCCUUCUUCAGAUAAUCACAACAGUCCGACUCAGACUGUGGCUGAAUUAAAGCAGGAGAUCAAGGACCUGAAAGAAGAGAACGCGAAGUUGAAGGAGAUUGUUCUUCAAGAUGUGCCAGAACUCCUACUGAGCUUGAGGAAUAUAAUAGAUUCGGCUGCACCUCCUAAGAGAUCCAGGGUGGAGCCUACCAAAGCAUUACCGGCCCUUCCAGGGUCUCCGCAGUCCAGGUCCAGUUCUCCAUGU